GAUUCAUCCAUUUGGAAGUCAGAACCGGAACUCCUCACUGAGCUAAGUAGGGUGAUAAGGAGUUUGAAGUGUGCUAUUCGGUUUUCUGAUGCAUACCCAGAUGGUCUAACAGUUUGACUCUGGAGUCAGCGGUGGUAAUGACAGAUUCCAAAUCUCUUCGUUUCCGGUGUUCUUGGACUACUUCUGUGAUGAUGUGAUCCUGCGUUCAGAAGUUUGGACAGUGGCCUCCUGUUUCCCCCGCUUUCUGACUGGCAGAUGUCUCUGGAUUGGCUAGAACACCUGCAGGUGUCUCCUAUGGCUGGCGGCUGGAAUCUGGCUUUCAUCAGUGCUAAAGACCCAACCUCAGGAAGCCCUGCAAAAAGAAUCAGGUGUUGGAGUCUAGCAGUCAUGAACCCUAUUUUGUUCAGAUGGCGAGGAGCUGGUAUUACCAAGAAUGGCAUCUGUAGCAGCUGGUGUGUCCAAUUUAGCCUCAGAAGGAAAAGGGUUGACUUUCUUCCACCAUUGAGAGGUGCAGAGGUUUGGGGAAGAUGAGCUAACCUCUCUUGAGUUUCACCAUCUGUAAAAUGAGGAUGAAUGAAUUUGCCUUGGGCCAGUGAGAUGGCUCAGUGAGUAAAAGCCCUUGCAGCUAAGCCUGAAGACCUGAAUUCCAUCCCUAAGAACUGACUCAUGCAAAUUGUCCUCUGACCUCCAAAUGUGCAUCGUGAGGCUCAUGUGCACUCAAGCACACACUAAAUAAGUAAAUAAACAAACAAAUGUUGUAACAAAAGUAA